GGAUUUUGUAGCGCUUUGCCCAACCAUCCACCACCAUCACCUGGAUAAAGUGUAACGCUGAGUUCCUCCAAGCCACACUUAGCGCUGCUCAGGGCCUCACCCAGGCCCGUUGCAUUGCUCAGGUCCUCACUCUGUCCUUGGCAAUUUAAAACUGACAGGCUGGUGCCCUCCUGAAGAGCCUUGCAUACCCAUGGCAACACUCCAGCAUCACUAUCCCAUAGGGAUAGUCUUUGCAGCGAACAGCUUGGACUCGUGAGUGCCUUGAAGAGUGCUUCACCUGCCUCCUCUGGAAACGGUGCCACCAGUUCUACUAGCUUAUUGAAAAUGCCAUUCUGAAAUGCCUGUUCCCACCCUUCCUUGCCAAUGACGUUAUCCAGGAUGACUAACUCUUCCACCUUGCACUCCUGACUUGCCAGAUCCCUACUCAAUUUCCCAAAUCCUUCCACUGUCAUCCUGUUCCUAGUCAAGACGAGACGUUUCAAGUUGUUUCCUGGUUUCCUAAGGAGUUGGCUAAGGAGAGUCUCUGGGUUCCCAACCUUGUCCAACCUGAGCUCUGUCAAGCAGUCGAGCUGAGCAAAGGCCAACUCAAGCUCCUGAGGUGGUGUGAGGAUGUCUUUGCCUCCUUGCCAACCUAGCCCUUUCCAGACUUUGAAUUCCUCCGUCAUCAGUAGCUUCGCAAACCUCUGUACCUCAAUCUGGCCAAUAUCCUGUCCCUGCUGAGGAGGAGCAAUGCCCUCUGCCACCCUUUGCAUUCGAUCACUGGGAAUGCCCAACCUACAAGCGACCCUGGCAGCGAAGUGGAUGAAUCUGAUGUCGAGCUGUGGUACCAAAGCGGCCUUGAGAAUGUCAAUGUGAGCAGCAGCAGCAGCAGACGAACUGCCAUCACCAGGAGCAUCUCCCACAUCCAGAGCCCUGUCUAAACAGGGCGGAUUUGAAAUGCACCAGUUGAGCACACCAAUCAGAUCCUCCUCUGUGCCUCCAAACCUCUCGACGGUAGCACUCACCUCAUCAACAAACUCACCUUUGGAUGAGUGAAGCCUCUCCAAGAUCUCCCCACAAAAAAACUGAAUCGCAUCGAAGUGCCGCUUGUUGUCCCGCUCCGCUGCGAGAGCCUCCUUGAUCUCCUUGACAGAGUCACAGCCGAUCCACACUCGUCGCUCCUCCUCCAUGGAAGUUUGCCCUAGACCGAGUGAUCAUGAGUAAACUUCUCCCAGCUGUGGAUAAGAAAGUAAGCACGAGUUAGUUUAGGGUUUAGAACAGAUAAAAUGGGGAAGAAGGGGAAAGGGAAAAGAGAAGAUCGUCGCCACGACAAGGUGUUAGACGAGGAUGAUAUCGAUGCGAUCUUGGUAAGCAAUCUCUGGCCAAAGACUCUCAAUUGUUUUCCUUUUUGUCAGGCUAAACUCCACGAGGAGGAAGCAGAAAUUCAUGUCGAUGAGAAUGUAGCAGCUCCUUCACCAAUGCAAUUGCUCUGUGCGUAAGAAUUCGAUUGAAAUCUCCACUCUGGAAGCUCACAUUCUCUAGACUUCUUUUCUUGCGUUUCAGGUGACUGUAAAUCCAGUCAAGGACACUGAGCUGAUCGUCUAUGGAGGUGAAUACUAACAACGGUGACAAGGUUUGUGGUUAGUUUCGCUACGGUGAUUUGAUCUUCGUGUUUGCUAUGCUAGACUUUACGUUUAUGGUGAUCUCUACCGAUACAACAUCGAGAAGAACGAGUGGAAGCCUGUCACCAGUCCAAACUCUCCUCCCCCGAGGCGGUUGCGUGGAAAAACUGGCUCUUCAGUUUUGGUAUCCAGGAAUUCUCUUGAUUUUGGCAGUGUAGGUGGUGAAUUCGGUUUCAUGACUAUAAGGUGUGUUUCUAGCUGACUUACAAGAGAGUUCUUGCAGGAUUUAUGGAGACUGGAUUUAAACACAAAUAUCUGGCGGGAGCAGCUUCAACUAAAAGGCUGUCCAGGUGCUCGUUCCGGACAUAGAUUGGUAUGUAUUGCGCUUCUAAACAUAAUCUUUAUUUUUUUCUUUCUUGCCACAGAAACAUAAACUUAUUCUAUUUGGUGGAUUUUAUGACACGCUGAGGGAAGAAAGGUCGGCUGUUUCAGCAGUGUAGAUGUUUAGUAUUGAAUUUUUGACACAGGUACUUCAAUAAUCUUUAAGUGCUGGAUUUAGACGAUUAUAAGGUUUGUUUCUGUCGCUCAUCGUUCUUCCUUGUUUUUUAACAACUAAACUGAUUUCCUUUUGCAGUGGCAAGAGAUAAAACCCAAGCUUGGAGCUGCCUGGCCUUCAGCUGGAACUGGUUCUCAGCUUGCUGUUUAUUUAGAUGAGGUAUUUGUCUACUAAAAGUAUAGUUUUGCGUGUUGUGAACAUUUUUUCUUUUCUAGAUUUUCUUGUACGGUGGCUAUUUCAAAGAGCCUGUGCUUGUUUUACAUUCUCGUUUGGAGUUUUAGUUUUUCAAUGUGUUUUGUGAAGGUGAAAAAAUCCGGUAUGGCUCCUGGCCAAGAGCAGGAUUUUUGUCCACAUCUUGUUUGGUGGUGUAGUUGAUGCUGAUGAGUACGGUUUCAAUGCAUGCGUUGGAAAAACUAAUGUCUUUUGCAGGUGAUUCCCUGCACAGCGUUUUUAUGAUCGAGAUGUAUAUGCUUUCCAGAUGGUUUGUAUCUCGUCGAUUUUUUAAAAAUUAUCUAAGCACCAUCGCUCGCAGGUAUCCUUUGGAGCAAAGAGCCUAAAGAUUAAGGUAUGGCAAUCUGAGAUUGUGUAGUGGUUAAGUGUGCAUCCAAAGCAGAAGAAAGUGGUUGAUCCAAAUGUGGAAAAUGCGUCUCAACGUUGAGCGUUCUGCUUGAAGGUUGUUGCCUUGUGGAAGAAUGAAUGCUGGAAUGGUCGUUGGAAAGGAUACUUUGUUUCUGUAUGGAGGUAUGAAAGAAGUCGGCAAAAAAAAAGUGACACGACGACCUUUCCUCGCUGGACCUUCGAUGUGUGGAAGUGCAUUAUUGAGGUAGUAUGAUCGAGCCAUCAUCCAGCCUCAUACUAAUGUCUCAAGCAGGAAACACAAAGCGCGUGGAUUGAAGCUAGUAAGGAGAAAGGCGAAACUGAUGGUGACAACAGUGAUGCUGGAUCGAUUAAUAAAGGAAAAGACGAAGAGGACGAUGACGAGGUAGUAAAAAAGAAGGAUGUAAGAAAACUUGUCGGCUUCCUUUUGUAUUCUAGGAUGCAGUGGAGUCACUGUGAAGAGGCAGCUGCUAUUCUUAGGGGCGAAGGCAAAAAGCUGACACAGAAAGCACGGAAAUUAAAUAUCAAUCCGAGCUGGGCCUGGCUGAUUCCCAACAAACACUUUUGGUGAGUGCUGAUAGUAGUUCAUCUUCCUGUUUUGUUAUUGAUUUGUCUUUCAGCCUGGAGAAACGCUGAGAGAUUUUUUCUCUUGGACGAUCAUGUAUUGGCAAAUGGCACCUUACGAUCACACCCAACACACUGGAAAGGUGACAACGCAGGUUUUCUUUCGCUCGUUCUUCAUGCUCUAUGCAUCUAUCAGGAGCUCAGGAAGGAUGGAUUUGACUUGGCAAAGACACGCUACAGAGAACUUAAACCCGUCCUUGACAAGGUAAAGUGGUGUCUCAAGAAGGAAUCCUCACAACAGCAUUGUUUGAUUUGCAGCUCGAGACUUGAAGCCGACCACAACGCCGAAGAGGAGGCUACCAAACCUUCCAAAGAGCGCAGCACGAAGAAACGAUAAGGUCCGUGAUCUCUGAAAGUUCUAGCUGAAAAUUAAAUGAAUAGAUUACAGUUAUUCCCAGAGGUAUGGUGAGUGCUUUCCUUUUCUAGAGGCAAUGCCAUUGACAUGAAACCACUAGUAUACAAUCUCUGCGUCGCAUCAUCAAUGGUGAUAGAAGGUUAAUUAAUAACGACGAUCCGAGUGCAUGAAAUGGAUAUCCAGGAUAAAGUUUAUAUUUCCAUGAUUGCUCGCAGAGUGUAUGGGCCUGAGAUAUCCCAUGGCUCGCUUUCGGUUGCCUUUCGUAAAGUGCAGAGUGAACACUCUCUCUACGCGGUCCAUAAACUUUACUACCUGCAGUGCAUUGGAGCAAUGAAAUUCCAUCAGCAAGACCCUCAAAGGAAAAUUUCUUCACACCUUCCGACGUUGCAAAGUGGUAACUGCCAGACUCCAGUCACCUGAAAAUUCAAAAAAACCUUUUUAGAAGUCUGCACUAAUUUUCCAUUUUCCAUAAGUACCUUUUCAUAUUUCUUGCGGAUCUUGACGAAUGCCAUCAUGUUCAAGGAGCUGCCAAGUAAGUUUUCAACACUUUGAGAACAUGGAUCAAUCGUAUAGAGGUCAUUCACCUGAAGUUUCUUAGGAGUCGAAGCCCACGAUAAAAUUCGACAAAGGCCGUCUGGAGCAUCUUGGCUGCUCGCUGAACCUUUCCUUUGUUGCCGGGGCUCCCCUUCAAGCUCUGAGAUUCGUCAUCUACAACAUGGCAGAGAUCAAACGAUUCCAAGUUAAGUGCCACAGAAUUAGAGGCUGCUAGAACGAACCUUGCAUAGCGAUGAGCUCUUCCAUUUGGAUGUGAAGUUGCCGUGCUUGAGCAUCGUACUCGUCUUCCUUGCAUCUAAAAAAGUUGUCCACUUUGUUGAGCUGAUCGUCAAGGCCGAAAAAGAAGCUCUUUUCGUGAUCCGAUCGAGUUCCAAACAGCUCCGUCUCGUAAAAAUCCUCGCCAUCUCCAAUUCUCGUCUUGUGCACAACCUGAUCAUAUUGAAGUGUUUUGUUUUGUCUUUACAGUCCAGACCAUCAUCACAAACCAUGGACGUUUCCGAGGAUAUGGAUUGUUCGCAGCAGCUGCUUAGAAUGGCGCUGGGAUUUUGCAGCAAGUUUUCAAGCUUGCUCUUGUCAACGGAGAAGACAUUUGGAUCGAACACCUUGUGCUGCUGGUUCUUGGUAUGUAGGAUCUGGGUUUUGAUUCUCUUGACAACUUUCUUGAGCUGCUUGUAGUCGCAGUACUUCACCCGCCACUCUGGGACGAGCUGGCCCUCCAGCUGCUUCUGGAACUUCACCAUGUCUGAAAGCUUGGAUUACCUGAGGCGAACAUCGUCAAGAAAACGAUCAAGCAAGAGAUGAAAUACCUGGAGGAAAUGGUGUCAAGUUCAGAAUGCCUCUUCAAACUUUUCUGGCGCCUGUGCUCUGGAAGCACAGGAAGAACAGUGGCAGUGAGCAUAUGACGAGACAAAUGGUGGCGUGGAAUCAUCAAAUGCAUUGUGCUGGGGAGGAGCACCACCAAUUCUCACAAGAAAACAGCGCCUUAAGAUCAUCUCUGGAAAAAAGGGGGAAAGCCUUCGUUUCUCACCGACGCCAGCGAACAAUUACAUAAGAAUACGUUAUCCCGAGUGAAACUGACGCAGCAGAGUGCAAGAGGAGAGAAGAAGCAAGCGAUCCAUUGGCCUAUGGAACUAAAAAAGGAAACAAAAGGACAGGGAAUGCAGGGGAAUCUACAGGAAAAGCUGUCGUAAGUUACACACUUACACACACUCUCACACACUUCAACUCUUUUCUUGUCAACACGAGUAAUUUAUGCGAGCGAAAGGGAAUGAAAGAAUCAUUUGAGCAUCUAAAGCAUGGAAGGAAGCGAGGCACGAUGAUUCGUCCCUGCUUAUUUUUUCGCCUAUCGUUGGCUGUGUCUCCUACAUUAGGACCAAAGGUCUUCCCGCAUAACCAUCAAGCCACGUUUCGUGGAUUCGUAAUGCACUCGCAUAAGGCAUGCCAUCCUGUAAGAGAAGCAAAGCUGAAUAACUCCACCAAGACAAAGCGAUAAGAACGCCACCUCAUAUUGAAACACACGGCGGUUGUCAAGCGAUAAUUCAGCUCUUCGUCUGGAAUGCACCAGCAAAAGAAUAAUGCAUAUGACUCAGAAAGAAGAACUUGACGUACCCGUUCGCUGCCACUUAUCAAACUUGACAACCCAAGUAACGUCCCCAACCCCCAUCAACCCACAUACAGAAGUUCUUUCCCCUGGGAAUACCGUGGAGGGGACGUAGAAUCUCAACGCUUCUACGAAGAUCGUCUUCUAGUUUCCACGGAGUGACCAGCGUUGAGUCAGGGGCCUGCCAGCCAUUUCGUUGCUCAACCAUCAAAAACUACUAAACACGAGGAACUUACCAUUGGCCUUUUCAAGUGUUCAAACACCUCGUGGGAGCUUUCAACCUCGCCUCGUAACCAUCUCACACUCCACGUCCGAUCAACCCUUCGGUGUCCCCAGCAGUGAGCUGGCUCAGUAAGUCGGCAUCCCUGGGCGAAACACAAGGAUCAAACUUGAACUCUCGGAUAGCUUGUAAGAUUCCCGAAGCGCAUCUUUCAGUGCCACGAAAGAUCUUGGGAUUGUCUUUGGCAUUAUCAAGGUACCACUACGUAAGAUCUUCAAACGCAUUCCCGACCUGAGAUCGUCAGUGAGUGAGUGAGUGAUCAAUCGACUUCAAGAACUGAAACGUCUUUGACGUCCAGCGCCUCCUCCUGAUUGAGCACCGAGAUCCACGUCGCGCUCUCCUUGGCAGUUAUCUUGUCUUGCAAGCACUUGGACUGCCUCACGAGCUUCCUGAUCUUCCCGAUAUCCGGGGACAUGUGUCGGAUCACCGCAGUGAGAACUCCAACCUUCCACACCUUCUUGAGAUCAUGGGGCUUCUUAUACGGAUCCAUCUUGCGGAUCGAUCGGAGUGGAAGUAUUUCGAGCGCCCGCUGCCAAGAGGAGGGAAUAUUUCGGAGCGAUUACCUCCAAUUCGCCAUGGAAAGCCGAGGAUCGAAUGGGAAAAGCGAGGAAGAUCACGGGAAGCAGAGAGAAAGAAGGAAAAAGCUCGAUUCAACGCGAGCCCCUUGUGUGAUUACCUAGCUCCAUCGAUGCCCCGUCGACGCGCGCUGCGCUCGCCGAUCGCGCCCGUGACACAGUGGCGCAGCGCCUUCAAAUUCGACACAUUGCCCGGGCAAGCGUCACAAUCCCAAUGCCGCCACCGCUGCGGGCGCUGCCAACGCGAUCAACGAGAAUCGAUGCCCUAGCGCAUCAAGAUCCCCGCUUUGCUCGGCGAGAGAGAGAAGAGCAAAGGCGCAGCGCCCCUCGUCAUAGCCAACUACUAGGUCAUAGCUAUCCAUCUAAAUGCCGUACAAUUCCCCCCAGGUCGGGUUUAUGACAUGGAAGUCCACUGGCUUUUUGACACGUGGCACACCUACAUCUGGAUUUACAAGGACGCCCUUUUCAGCCCUUCGCUUACGGUCAAUUUAGCUAUCUGCCUCAAAUUUAGCUAACCGGUUUGUUGCCAGAUUUAGCAGCUCCCCGAAUUUAAAUCACUUUUGUCCAAGCUGCCAGUUUGUCGGAAUCCAGUUUGGGUCAUAAAAUGGACCACUGGGGGACGCCGGGCUCGAACCCGGACCAGCGGAUGCCGCGCCGCGCCGGACUCCGGCGGUCUCGUCGCCGGACUCGAACCCGCCACCGUACGCUCCACGCCUCCACCGCUACCAUACGCCUCUCUCUAGUUUAUUAUACGCCUCCAAUCCUUCCUCAUGAUCAACGAGACAACCAACCCCGCGUAGAGUACGUGGGGUACGACGUUUGAAACUCCAUUCAUUGGGUUUUGUUAAAGAGAAUAAAAGACAGAACGCCACUGUAGCUAAACCUAGAAAUCAAAAACUAAACUACAUCGUGCCAUUAUUGGUUUGAGAUGCAACACCUUUUACUCGGGCACCCUAGCGAAUAAUAGAAUAUUUUCUGCCGGAGAAUAUUCUGGAAUCGGCCCGUGGUCCACAUGAUAGAGGGCAGUGACAAGAGGUUUUGGGCCCCCCUCAAAAUGCUUAUUUUUAUUGUUCGCUGGGAGUCCAUGUUCCCUCUUUAGCUCCCAUGUGUGGCCUUUGUUUUUGUUGCCAGCCAAACAAACACACAGAAAGUUUGAAGGAGAGAGAGAGUGUGCAAAAAUCUGAGAGGAGAGAAAGAAAUGGCACCGGCUUUGAUUGACUUUGCCGCGCUCCACUUCUUUGAUCCCUCCAUCUCCAUCUCGUCCUUUUUCUUUUUCUACUCGGACUCGGACGAUUCGAUCCAUCUCAUGUUUCGCUCGAAGUCGAUGGAUCACUGCCCAAUCACUCCAUCACUUCUUGUCGACUGGAAAAGUCUUUAAAUUCCUCUCGCUGAUGCGAUCAGCACGGCAUUAGCCUGAGAUCAAGGCCGCGGAUCAUCCAGCAAAGUCUAAGCUUUUUGCCAAGGAUGUGACAAGCUAACGUGUUGUCCAGGCGCUUACAGGUUCCAUUGUUUUUCCAAUCACAAUUCUUUUUCCUCCGGCGACCGGCACGAAAGUCGUCCGAAGCAACCCAAACUGGAAACAAGAUACAUGCCCAGUUUCUCGGACAGAUUUCCUCAAGCCCGGCAGAACACGGAAGACGAAGAAAUUCGUUAAAAAAUCCACGAGCAAGCAGCAAGAGAGAGAGAGAGAGAGAGAGACAUAAAAAACUUUGCCAAGCCCAAAGUCGUUGAUGUUAAGCUAGGCCGUGCUUGAAGCGCGUGAUGAUGAUCAUGAAAGUUCCUGUCAAGAUGCUCGGUGGAUUCUCCGUGUCUCCAGCUAGAGACUUAUCGACACACUAUCUAUCUGGUAAUGUUUCAAAACGAGUAAACUAAUCAGUGUUUGUUGGGAAUGAAUGUUUGUGCUGCUUGGCCACUUGCACUGCGGCGGCAGCAGAGGAGGAUGUUUUGCGGCAACUAUACCUGACUAAAUCGAAGUACUUUAAUUGCAAUUUGCAAGAUCACAAGUACUAGUCCUGAAGAAAAACAGCAAGAUGUGCUUAUAAUCAAGGCAUUCUUGCAACGCAAGUGGAAAUUCACUAUGUUUACCUGGGCUUUCCAAGGAUGCUUCAUCUGAAUCGCAUAGUGUCACCCUGCUGUAUGAAAAAGACAAGAGAAAAAUUCUUACUCACUAGAGUUUGUUAAUUUUACUCUAGCUAUUACAAAUUUUCCAUUGUUGAUACUCACUGUAGCUUCAUUCAACUCCACACUUUUUUACUUAAUUAGAGAUGUAAAGUUUUGUCUCAUGUUCUAGAAUUUUGUCUAUAGUUACAAAACCACAAGCUUAUCCAUAAAUGGAUUGAUAUUACUAUAAACAAUUAAAGAAAACAACUUGAAAGACGAUUAAUAGGGUUGAAAUAUAGAGGGAAAGGGCUCAUGAAUAAAAAUACAUUUUAUUUUUCAAAUGCACUCAUUUUUCCAAUCGGUUAAAGGUCCUGGGAUAUUUGGGGUUAAGUGUUUCUGGGUUGGGUGACUUCCCGGGAAUUUUAAAUUCAAGAGUUUAUAAUUACUUCAGUGCAGAAGUAUAAUCUUAACUUCUCUCUCUUCCUUUCAGCUUCUUUUCUUUGCUUUUCAAUAUGUAGUGAGUGAAAUGCUUUCACUCGUAAGUUUUUCAUAAGUGAGUGAAUAAAACUUGAUUAACUUUUAUAACCUACUUUUCCAAAGUUACAUUUAAGAUGGCCAAGUGAGCAGUGUGAUGUGUUCUUACAACCAAGUGAAUAGUUUUUUAACUUGUGCUAAUCAAAGUUUGCUCAUAGAUAUAAUACAAAAUAAGUGGGGAUGCAAUAAAUUUAUUCAUUUCUCUUCUCGAGAAAAAUCAUUCUUUUACUUCUUGUUAAAUAUAUAGUUUUUGAUUGUGAUGUUCUUCACUUUUUUUGAAGGGUAUACUCCCUUAGCCAAAGAUGCAAUUGUUGAUUCUAUGUUAUAGGUAAAAAUUUGAUAAUUAGAAUUGUUGCACGUUUCAAUAUUAAUUUUGGGACCAACUUCUAAAGUUUUACCAAGAUUAUUUUAAAUUAAUAAGUUCAAAACUUUUUCUUGACAAUCAUGAGAAGUCAAAAUAUCACCAAGGUUAACUUUAACCAUAUAAUAUCCAAUCUCAUUACAACCAAAAUGUGGCUUAGAUUAUUCAAUGGCAAUUCAAGAGCUGGUCCUCUUUAACAAGUUCCAUAUAUAAAUAAUAUAGUGAUUUACCCUUUCUUUUUUUGUAAGUUAUUGUUUAAAAAGAGUUUAUUUUAAAUUCACUUAAAUCUUUCUCUUGAGAAACUACUUAGCUUGGCAUAAAAUCUUAGCAACCCAAUACUAAAUACUAGUCCAAAAAUUUGAGAAAAACAUAUAAACCAGUAUAGUAAUGAUAAUUUGAAGCUUUUUCUUGCCAAUUUACAAGGUAUAAUAAAUGAUUGAGAUGUUGGUUCUCUAAACAAAGAUGAGAUAAAGAUUGGGAGUGAUCUUAGGCAAACAUCUCUAAGCCAAACUUCUUCAUUUGGCUCAUAAACUUGGUUGAGUUUGCAAAGGUUUCGAUAAAGUUUAUUUUUGAAUUUUUGCAUGUCAUAAAUGCUUAUCAAGGCAAUGUAAAUAGGAGUAUACUAUAAUUAUGGCUUGUCAUUUUUGUUAUGGUGGUGGUGAUUGCAACUAUCACCAUGCUUUCAACAUCUUUAUAAAUGAUUAAUUUUUUUUUACUUUAGGAUCAUCUAAAGGAGUCUCACUUAUAAUUUCUAUAGGCCCUGAUAUUAAUUUGGGUGUUUCCUAACUUUAAGAUGUGUUUUUGUAACCACAUCAACUUUGUACUUGGUCUAAAUGCUCUAUGUGUCUAGUUCCACUUUUGGAUACCCAAAUGACUAGAUAACUUUUUAUGAAGUCCAAAUUUAAAAACUUAUAUUGGUAUUAGAAAAGUGUAAGGUGUGACUCUAUUAGUUGAUUAAAAAAAUCACACCACAUGUUAAGAUUGAUAUUUAAUAGGUUUAGUUUACUCUAAUUUCAACUCGAGGGGUAAGGUGUUAAAAGAGUAAGGCUCUUAGAAGAGCCCUACUCUUGCAAAAAAACAUGAUGGAUUAUAAACAACCAAAGAUAAUAACUUAAAAAAUUAUUAAUAUUAUUUUAAAUAUAGAAAUGUACUCUUUGUUCCAAUUAGUUGUAAGUAUUAGGUUAUUUGAGAUUAAGCAUCUUUAAAUAGUAUUGGGUUAGAUGACCUUCUAGAAAGCCCAAAUUCAGGAGAUUAUAGUGCCAUAAAUAAUAUAAGUUAAUGUUUGUAAAGAAACUAGCAAGAAAGAAAACAAUUUAAAAUUAAACAACCUUUUAAAAAUGAAAUAUUUACUAGAAUGUUCAAAAUAAGUAUUUAGAAAGCAUUUUUAUUAGAGCUACUCUCAAGUAAUACUUGAUGUGUUGCAAAUGAUUUCAUAGUAAAAAAUAUCUUUAUACUUCAUUUUUAAAAUAAUAAUUAGUGGUGUUUAAUACAUAUUUUGUAUUUUCUAAACAAUAUCUAGAGACACUCAAAAACCUUUUGCUGUUAAAUUAUUGUCAUUCAAGCACUUGUUUACAAUAGUUAAAACACAAUACAAUGUUUGGUUUUAUGGGAUGGUAAAUAUAUGUAAUUGAGGAGAGUAAACAGAUUUCUAUAUAGACUUUAGUAAGUAAAUGGAAUUGUGAACAAUGACAAUUUUCAUAAGUCUUUAAACUGUAGUUUGUAACAUAUUUUAGCUAAAUAUUAAUUUAAAAAAUAAGUUGAAGUUGGUAAAGAUAAUAUAAAGUUAUCUCCUACAGUAUGUGAUGAUAAAUAACAAUUAAGCAUUUGUAUUUAGUUUUGAAAUGCAUUACCUCAAAAGGUUUAUUAAUAAUAAUUAACUUUAUUCCUAGAAUUGUUUUACCAAAGAUGCCAAAAUGAAAAAAUGCCACUAACAUGAGAUCAUCUGAGUAGCUUUUCUUUAAAGCAUUCAAUACUAAAACAUCAGAAUAAAUAUAAAAAUUAUUUUAUAGCAAUAUGCAAAGAUACCUCAUCGACUUAUAUCAAGAAAUGUAGCAUAAUCAUAGUAAAAAUGCCCUACAUAGUCUUUGUUAAAUAAAACUAAAAUCAUAGUUAUAUUUGAAUGUAAAAUAGCUUUGUAAAUCUAUACUGUUUUAUAAUCCAAGGUUAUAGGAUGGAUAUUAAAAUAUUUGGCCAUGAUUGUCUUUUGAUCAAUUUCUUUCACAAUUUUAGUCUUCUUAUCAAAAUAUGAUUAAUAUGACAUCAUUUGACUAGCUUUUCCUUCACUUGAAUUAUUAAACAUUCAACACUGAAAUAAACUUGGAACAUUAGAAUAAACAUGAAAUAAUAUUUUAAAGCAAUAAUGCAAAUUUACCUCAUUGACUUCUAUUACAAAAUAUAGCCCAAUCAUUCCAAAGACAUAUAGCAAUAACUUUAUAAAGCAUAUUUAUUUACUUUCAUCUUGCCAAAUCAUCUCGUAAAAAUAUAGAUUGAUGAUCUGAUUUAGAAUGGUUUUUGUUAGAUAAAACCAAAAACUUAAAUGUUAAAUACCUUUGUAGACCCAUAUUUUUCUUUCAUCCAGGAUUAUGGGAUGAAAAACAAAACAUAUGAUUAAUGAUUUACUUUAAAUACCCUACAUAGCUUCUGUUAGAUAAAACUAAAAGUAUGGAUACAUUUCAAUAUAAAAUACCUUUGUAAAUAUAUAUUGUUUUAUCAUCUAAAUUAUAAGAUAAAAAAUAAAUUAUUUGGUAGUUUUUCCUUCAUUUAAAGCAUUAAAAAUUCAACACUGAAAUGAACUUGAAACAUUAGAAUAAACAGGAAAGAAUAAUUUGGAGUUAUAAUGCAAACUUACCUCCUUAACUUCUGCUAUAAAAAAUACCCCAAUCAUACCAAAGACAUAUAGUAAUAACUAUAUAAAGCAUGUUUAUUUACCUUUGUUUUACUAAACCACCUCAUAAAAAUUUAGAUUGAUGAUCUGCUUUAAAAUGGUGUUUGUUAGAAAAAACUAAAAACUUAAAUAUUAAAUACCUUUGCAGACCCAUAUUUUUCUUCCCUCUAAGAUUGUGGGAUGAAGAGCAAAAUGUUUUUCCAUGAUUGUCUCCUGUUUUUCUUCUUUCCCAAUUGUAGUUGUCACUAGCUUAAAUAUCUCUUGCACAUCUUCUGCUUUGGGAUUUGUAGUUAACUUAUUUUUGAGAAGACAUGAAUCCAAAAAGCUUAUGAGGCUUCCCUUGAUCUCAUCCACCAUUGCAUUCAUUAUUUCUCCAACACCAGCAAAAUGUCCUCCAACUUUAGCCCCAAUAAAUAAUAGGAUCAAUGUAUGUUUAAAUAUUGGAGCAAAUUUCUUGAGCCAGUUUGGUGGGAGAUCCAAUUCAACACCUACAGAACUCUUCACUUGAUGACCUUUAAAAGUUCCUUGAGGCCAUUCACACAAGUAGUGAAGUUUAACAUGUGUUCCCAAUAUUUUGCUGUAAUUUUUCCACCUAUUAUUCUCAUCAAGAAUAUAUGGAUAUUUUGGGCAAUCUGUCUCCAAUUUCAAUAAUACUUGAAAACACGUUGUAUGGAUUGCAUUCACUUUAUCCAUGAUAGACUUGAGUCCAUUCUUGAGCUCGUUAAGGCUUACUUCAAUGUUAUCAAGUUUUGUAUCCAACUUGUCAAACCGAUUCUCCAUUUUAUCAAACUUCUUAUCAAAAUAUCUAAAAAUUGCAUCGAGUUUUGGGUCUUCAAUGUUUGGAAACUCAACAACAUUUAAUGAUGCUUUGGGAAUUGUGACUUCUCCAACCUCCUCAUAGUCCUUUAAGAGUUCAUGAAGCUCAACAAACUUAUUCACCACUUCAUAUUUUUGCUCAUUAGGCAUCAAUAACUUGGCCAAAGCAUUCUCAUCUGAGACCUUCAAAUCGUUAAUCACAUCCCAACUCUCUGCUUCAUGUGAAUCAUUCCAAGUGUGAGAGUAGUCUAGACCGCUUUCUCUUGCUUCACAUUUGACUUUCUUUAGUGGAUAAAUAACUGCAUCCCAUGAUUUUGGUUUGCCCACAUUAUUUAGUAUCCUUCUCCACACAUAACCACGUCUCAUCACAUUUUCUUCAAUUUCCAAAAAUGGGCAAUCCUCUAUACAUACCCCAAUAAUGCAAUUUCUAAUUUUUUCCAUCCAUCCUUCAGCUUCUUUUUCCAAAUCCGGCCUUGGUGCAUUCUCUACCUUUUUUGGGUAGUAGAUGAUGACAUCAACCCAUUGCCUAUCUUUCCAAUUGUCUGUGUCUCCCCCAACUCUAACAAUUGUCUUGAUAAGGUUUUCUUUCAAAGCCACCCAUCCAUUCCCAGGCCUAAAACCUUUCUUGCUUAAUUUGUGAAGUUUAACUUGGAUCUUUGUGAAAAUACUUGCAGGAAACAAUUUCAAGUCCUUGUCUUUGCAUUCAAACCUCCUGCCCCAGUAGUUGUGGUUUUUUUGAGUGUCAAUUGGCACUGAGGGUGACAAUAAAUAUUCUGGAGGUGAAUAUUCUUCUUGCAAUAAUGUUGGCAUUAUCGGCUCUUUGGGCAAGUUAUGCCAAUUCCCAUCCCAUUUAUCAUCCCAAGGCAAUAUCACUCCCAUCUCAUGGAGCACUCCAAGAAUGUACUCCACUAUUUUGUCUUGGUUCCCACAUUGUUGCUUCAACUGAUGUUUAACUCUGUGUGUUUCCAUUUGACUUUUGAAUUUGCUUGUCUCAGUAUGUAUGAAGAGUUGCACCACAUCCCUCAUAAACCAUUGGACAUCUAAGAUGACAAAUUGAGACACAAUGUCGUCCUCUUCAUGUCCCAAGCCAAAGUAAAUUGCAUCACCAGAAUCAUGUAGAAAUUGCAAGACGAAUUUGAGAACAUUCUUGGAACUCCUGUGAGGCAAGAGAAUUUUGCCAACUUUUUCUAGGGGUAUGACCUUCUUGUGACUUGGAUCUUGUACCAAUUUCCUCUUUGCUUUGAGACAUUCCCGUGGUAUUUGUUGCUGGGCUGACAGCAGUUCCUCCAAGCAACUCCCCAACAUGGUUUUUAUCCCCCUUAAAUCUUUCACUUGAGUGGCCACCACCUCAAAACAAAAGUCAUUCCCAAACUCAAGUACUUGCCAAUAGCCUUUGUCGGAGAUUAUUGCAGAAACCACCUCCUUUGGGUCAAAGUCGGGUUCUGGAGUGAAAAAGUUCAAGGCAAUCAAGACCCUGGGCUUCCUUUUGGGUGAGGCUGAUUGAUGUGAAGCGAUGAACCUCAGCCAGUAAACCAAAUUCUGCUUGAAAACGUCACAAUUGUCAUCCUCCACCUUGCAUACGAUCAAGAAGAGAUCCUUCUCACUUCCUCUGAGAAAGUACUGGUGGAAAGCAUGGAACUCUUCCUGUCCAGCCAGGUCGCAAAUGAGCAGCUUUUGUUUGGUGGUCGCAUAGACAAGUGGUUGCAGCUCAAUGCCUGCUGUUGAAGCAUGCCUUUGGAGACAUGAUGGAAACCAAGACACUCUGCGGCAGAGGUUGUUUUUUAUUGUGGUCUUUCCAACCCUGCUAUCACCACACAAGAAGAGUUUUGCUGUUGAUGGGUUGUCAAAGUCCUUGAAUGCACUCUUCUGGAAGAUUGCAUUCCGCUCUAAAAGACCAGAACACCUCUGCUUGAAAGCUUCAGAAGCUUCGGAAUCACUGCCUAUAUCAAGCUCUUCCACGAGGCUUUGGUAGUUUUCCUCCAGGGCAGCCAGAAUUUGUCUUUUCUGUGCAUCACUAUCAAGAAAACGAGCCCUGAAUCUGCGCACCUUGCAUUUUGGAUCCCCCAGCAACUGGCAAAGCUCUUCCAGCUUUUCAAUUUCUUCCUGACGUAUUUCCAAGUCUUCAAUGCUGCUUCCCAAAAGGCACCUCCAUGGCAGCUCCGACUCACAUGACAAAGCUUUCAGAGACUUGCAGCUGGUGAUAGCUUUCCAAAAGGGCUCCCCAUUCGUGAUUUUGCAGCUCCAUAUACCCAAAUGCUCCAGUUGGCUCUUCUCUAUGCCCUCGGCAAACUCCAACGGUAACUCUGUCCUGCUACCCCAUAUUUUCAAAUGGCGCAGCUUACAAUGUGGACUUGAGAGAGCUGACCACAGACUGCUGUCACAGACCAUUCCUCCUCCCUCGUUGAACCAAUCAAGGUCAAGGUUGAGCUUGAUCAGCUUGCAAUUGGGAUUUUGUAGCGCUCUGCCCAACCAUCCACCACCAUCACCUGGAUAAAGUCUAACGCAGAGUUCCUCCAAGCCACACUUAGCGCUGCACAGGGCCUCACCCAGGCCCGUUGCAUUGCUCAGGUCCUCACUCUGUCUCAUUUCUCGGCAAUCUAAAACUGACAGGCUGGUGCCCUCCUGAAGAGCCUUGCAUACCCAUGGCAACACUCCAGCAUCAGUACCCCAAAAUAGGUAUAGUCUUUGCAGCGAACAGUUUGGACUCGUGAGUGCCUUGAAGAGUGCUUCACCUGCCUCCUCUGGAAACGAAUAUGCCUCCAGUGCCACUAGC
rnacentral:lncRNA from 1 species